UUAAUGGAGAGUUUGAUCCUGGCUCAGGACGAACGCUGGCGGCGUGCCUAAUACAUGCAAGUCGAGCGCGGGAAAUUAAUAGAUCUCUUCGGAGUGACAU
rnacentral:rRNA from 1 species